AUUGAACGCUGGCGGCAUGCCUUACACAUGCAAGUCGAACGGCAGCGCGGGGCAACCUGGCGGCGAGUGGCGAACGGGUGAGUAAUAUAUCGGAACAUACCCUAGAGUGGGGAUAACGUAGCGAAAGUUACGCUAAUACCGCAUACGCACUAAGGUGGAAAGUGGGGGAUUCGCAAGAACCUCAUGCUCAUGGAGUGGCCGAUAUCUGAUUAGCUAGUUGGUGAGGUAAAAGGCUCACCAAGGCGACGAUCAGUAGCUGGUUUGAGAGAACGACCAGCCACACUGGAACUGAGACACGGUCCAGACUCCUACGGGAGGCAGCAGUGGGGAAUUUUGGACAAUGGGGGCGAACCCUGAUCCAGCAAUGCCGCGUGAGUGAAGAAGGCCUCGGUUGUAAG
rnacentral:rRNA from 1 species